GCCUACGGGGGGCAGCAGUGGGGAAUAUUGCACAAUGGGGGAAACCCUGAUGCAGCGACGCCGCGUGAGUGAGGAAGUAUUUCGGUAUGUAAAGCUCUAUCAGCAGGGAAGAAAAAAAGUCCUUUGGACUUUGGACGGUACCUGACCAAGAAGCCCCGGCUAACUACGUGCCAGCAGCCGCGGUAAUACGUAGGGGGCAAGCGUUAUCCGGAUUUACUGGGUGUAAAGGGAGCGUAGACGGCAGCGCAAGUCUGGAGUGAAAUGCCGGGGCCCAACCCCGGAGCUGCUUUGGAAACUGUGCAGCG
rnacentral:rRNA from 1 species